GCACGAGAGCACCCAUUGCAGAAUCUAGUGAUAUAUGAACGGCUGAUUCGGUCAAUUUAUUGUGAAUGACUAUUAUGCAUGGCUAUUGUGAGUUGGCGCACCUUCUGCAUACAUUUUUAAUAAAAAAAAACUGUAACAAAUCUUUAUAAUUUAAAUAGAAAUUAUAAAAUAAAUUUAAAACUUACCUUCCUCAACAAUUUAACAACAACAACAGUAAUAUUUAUGUCUUUAUGUAAAAUGACGACUAAAACAGGGUUGCAAUUAUAUUUUUGCGUGACAUUGCACGCAAAUAUACAUGGGUUUUGGUCUGGCAUAUUUUACAGCCAUUGCAAAUAAUUUUCUGCGUGUGUUUGUUGUUGUGCCGGUGCACCAGGAGGAAAUGUAUGCAAUUCUUGCACCGUGCAAGGGUUUUGCAAGAGCAAGAGAAUACCCCUAUUGAGAAAAAUGCCAGGGUCAUUUUGGAUAUUGAACAAUUCUGGUUUAAUUUCAAUCCCUGUAAGACGGAGGUAACAGAUUGCACAAACACAUUGAAACAUUUUCAGCUGUUCACUAACACUGUUACAUUUUUUGCAAUUUUCAAUUGCAUGGGAGAAUACGUAAGUAAGAUAGAGAACAACUAUCGACAUAUUGUAAUGUUAACUUCUUGGAAUAGGAAAGACGAAUACCCAGUUUUUCAAGAAGAAGAAAACGAAAAGCGCAGUUUAUUUUGGAUUUUAAAGAGAGAAAACGAAAAAGCUUGGAGAAAGGGAUAAGCAUUGAAUUGAAUCAUCACAAUUUGUGAUACCGUCACCAUCGCCGGAACGAAAGUGCGCUUCGUGCAAGACAAUCUUUCACAAAAGGAAAGCACGGAUGCAUAUGCAUGUUUUUUACCUAAAAAAUCUUUAUUUUAAAAAUCACAUUUUACACUUGUGUGAACCUCAUUUGUUUACCAAAAAUUACAACGAAAUGGAGCGCUGCCAUGUGAUGAUAAGGCAAUUCGCUGAAAUUCCUCUUUUUCGCAAAUAUUCCUCCAUUCAUGCAUAUGAAUAUUUUCUUUUUUAAAUUUAUUGUGCAAAUAAGUAAUAUUAUAUACAUGUAUUAGUAAUAUUAUACAAUAAUAUUGUA